UUUCAUGUCAAAAUUAAGAUUGCCAUUGAACCACCGUAACUUCUGGCCGUGCCUCUGUCGCCGGACAACACCGCUGCCGCCUGGAACCUCCAUUGAAGUCUGUAUCUGUGUGGAUGUAUGAUCACAUGGUCACUGCAAGUUUUUCUGUCCUGGGCCACCAUUAGAGCCGCCCAAGCGGUGUUGAAAUCGCUGCUGCUAUGUGUUCUUUUAUAAGAUCAAAAGCCGAGCUUACACGUAGCAUUUGAAGCUAUUUCUGCUUUUGGGAAAGCAAGCGGAGCAGAGGCUUCAGUUGCUGCUGAAUUUGGGCUGAGAGAAACGAGUUCAGUUGACGCGUUUGGAUUAUGGUUUCGCGUAUCGAGCUUUACCUUUUCAGGAACCGGAUGAAGAAGCAUUAAGAGAGUUAUACUGUGUUUGGUUUAUAUACUG